rnacentral:tRNA from 1 species
GCCAAUGUUGCUCAGUGAUUAGAGCAUCGGUCCCAAGCACUGAAGGGUCAUGGGUUCAAUUCCCAGUCAAGAGUA